GACGAACGCUGGCGGCGUGCCUAAUACAUGCAAGUCGAACGCAGUGGGGACGGGUGAGUAACACGUGGGUAACCUCCCAUCAGAGGGGAUAACACUUGGAAACAGGUGCUAAACCGAUACUGAUGGAUGGACCCGCGGUGCAUUAGCUAGUUGGUGAGGUAACGGCUCACCAAGGCCACGAUGCAUAGCCGACCUGGAAGGGGGAACGGCCACGAUGGGACGGGGAGACGGCAGAGGGGACUACGGGAGGCAGGAGGAGGGAAUGUUCGGCAAUGGACGAAAGUCUGAACGAGGAACGCCGAGGGAGAGAAGACGGUCUUCGGAUAGUAAACUGCUGUAGACAGGGACGCGGUACCUGUAGAAUAAGCCACGGCUAACUACGUGCCAGCAGCCGCGGUAAUAC
rnacentral:rRNA from 1 species